GACGAACGCUGGCGGCGUGCUUAACACAUGCAAGUCGAACGGAAAGGCCCUGAGUUUGUGGGGUGCUCGAUUGGCGAACGGGUGAGUAACACGUGAGUAACCUGCUCUAGACUUUGGGAUAACUUCAGGAAAGUGGGGCUAAGAUCGUAUAGGAGCCCCUGCUGCAGUGUGGGGGGUGGAAAGUUUCGGCGGUUGGGGAUGGACUCGCGGCUUAUCAGCUUGUUGGUGGGGUAGUGGCUUACCAAGGCUUUGAAGGGUAGCUGGCCUGAGAGGGUGACCGGCGACAUUGGGACUGAGAGACGGACCAGAGUCCUACGGGAGGCAGCAGUGGGGAAUAUUGCACAAUGGGCGGAAGUCUGAUGCAGAAACGCCGCGUGCGGGAUGACGGCCUUCGGGUUGUAAAACGCUUUCGCCUGUGACGAAGCGUGAGUGACGGUAAUGGGUAAAGAAGCACCGGCUAACUACGUG
rnacentral:rRNA from 1 species